rnacentral:rRNA from 1 species
UACGUAGGGUGCGAGCGUUAAUCGGAAUUACUGGGCGUAAAGCGUGCGCAGGCGGUUUGCUAAGACCGAUGUGAAAUCCCCGGGCUCAACCUGGGAACUGCAUUGGUGACUGGCAGGCUAGAGUAUGGCAGAGGGGGGGUAGAAUUCCACGUGUAGCAGUGAAAUGCGUAGAGAUGUGGAGGAAUACCGAUGGCGAAGGCAGCCCCCUGGGCCAAUACUGACGCUCAUGCACGAAAGCGUGGGGAGCAAACAGG